ACCGCCAUAUAGGGAAUGGAAUGCGGGGGCGGGGCCCGCCGCCGCGGCCUGAACCCGGUCACCUCUGCCGGGAAAGCCGGAAGGGUGGGGUGAUCCGCGCCUUGCAGACGGGAAAUAUGGUAACGGCUGGGGCGGAGCGGGGACGGAAAAGACCUGGCUCCUGCCUCAGAGGCGGGACGGACGAAGCCCCUUCUGUGGCAGGAGCUCCGGCGCGUGCCUAUAACAAGGCCUUGACGUUCCUCAGUGAGGCGAACUCCAAGGUGUGUCGGGGAGUGAUUUUUUGGUUUUCCCUCGAUUAUAGGUAAUACGGUAAGCGCCGUCGUCCCGGUGCCAGCUCCCGGUUGGCUCUGCGGAUGUCCCGGCCUGAGAGCGCCCCAGGAGCCCCGGGGUGAAGAGCCGGGCUGUGCGGACCCGCUGUGAGUCAAAUGGAUUGCGAUGAAGGCACUACGUCUGCCCAGGGAUUAAGAGGAGCUGAGAGACAUGCCUCUGCUACACUUUGACACUUGGAAUAAUAAUGGCAGAAUCUACUCUUAUAUUUCCCGAAACUCAGUGCUCUGAGCCUCUUCCAGGAAAUCCUUUAUACAGGAAGGUGUGGUUUGACAGAAUGAAGGUUGACUGACUUAUAGCUUGCUUCUUCAUGUCUCUCCAUGGGUCAUUUAUUUCUGAAAGAAGCAGGGUCAACGUAACUACACCUUUCUCAUUGAGUCACACCAGCUGUUGCAAGUAAUGCUGAAUAAAAAUAAUUCUCUGGUUACUCUGCCUGCACUUUUGUCUAUGGUUAACUUCACUGUUUUUAUUUAAGUCAGUCUCUUUUGUGUGCAUCUGUCACCUAGCAGGAAAGAAAUGUUUAUGUAAAUAAGUUUCACAAGUCAUUUAGGAGAUGUGUAGGAAAAUGUAGAACUGCUUUUAACUAACUUGUGAAAAUUGGCUAGAUUUUAAGCUGACUCUGCCCUCUCAACAGAUACUCAGAACAGUCACUGCUCUUUAUUGCUACAAUACACCAUCUUGGAAUAACACAUUAGCCAGUCUGAUGGAAUAUUUUAUGUAGGGUUUCUACUUCAUGUAAGUCAGUGCUGUAAAUGGCAGUUACAUCUGCAAAGAACACUCAUCCAUUGCUACUCUCAUGGGUAAAUGUGGUACAUUUAGGAAGGGUUAUGUUAGUUCUCAGAAUCAUAUGGAUCUAUAGAAAUGGUGGAAAUGUUUCUAGUAAAACACAAAAGACUGAAUAAUUAAGUUUUUUUUUUCUCUCAUGAAAUGGUUGAGGUUGGAAGGGAUGU